rnacentral:rRNA from 1 species
UACGGAGGGGGCUAGCGUUGUUCGGAAUCACUGGGCGUAAAGCGCGCGUAGGCGGCUUUGUAAGUUAGAGGUGAAAGCCCGGAGCUCAACUCCGGAACUGCCUUUAAGACUGCAUCGCUAGAAUCAUGGAGAGGUGAGUGGAAUUCCGAGUGUAGAGGUGAAAUUCGUAGAUAUUCGGAAGAACACCAGUGGCGAAGGCGACUCACUGGACAUGUAUUGACGCUGAGGUGCGAAAGCGUGGGGAGCAAACAGG